AUACUUACCUGGACGGGGUCAAUGGGGCGAUCUGUAAGACCCAUGGCCUAUUUUGGCAACCUCCAUUGCACUUUGGAGGGGUGCCCGACUAAGGUUGGCCCAAGUGGUCGAGCCUGCGUUAUAAUUUGUGUUUGUGGGGGCCUGCGUUCGCGCAGCCCCUAU